rnacentral:lncRNA from 1 species
AUCAAUGUCCUGUCCUCUUUUCUCUGUCAAGUUGUUCCUCCUUCCCGAGCUCUAUUGUGAUUUGGGGCACCUGAGGAAUUAACUAUUUCUCUCGUGUCUUUGCCUAACCACAGGUGAAUGUCUCGACCCGCUUUUAAGCUGGCUCCGCCCUCUGGACGCGUUCUUUUAAAGGUGGGAGCUCCGACGGAGGGCCCUGAUUCCGGCCUCGCUACCAGCUGGGCUGUGUGGGGGAGCGAGGCCUAAUAACCCAGGGGGCGCUGGGCGGGAACGGCGUGGAUCCCUCGGCCUCGCACACCUGGCUCCUAGUCCUCUCGGCCGGGCCGGUGAUCCUCUGGUCGGGGGUGGGGGUGGGGGGGGCUUGCGGCAGCUCACACCUGAGGCCGUUACAAAAGGCCUGCAGCUUAACUCGCUGCAGCUCGGGGGGAUGGAUUGCCUACUAACUGCAGGCGCCGUGGUGCGCCGAGAAAACAGCGAAAACUGGGCCAGCGGAGGCGGGUGGGCCUCCUUGGAGGAGCGCACCUGGGGUGCGGGAGCGCCUCCUGGCAGCCUUGGCCUCGCCUCCCACGCGUGGACGCGCAGGGCCCAGGACACCGCAGCCGCCUACUCCUUUCUGCAGCCCCGGGGUCUGAAGAUAAGUUGUCGGGAGGAGGAGCCAAGAUGGCCGAAUAGGAACAGCUCCGGUCUACAGCUCCCAGCGUGAGCGACACAGAAGACGGGUGAUUUCUGCAUUUCCAUCUGAGGUACCGGGUGCAUCUCACUAGGGAGUGCCAGACAGUGGGCGCAGGCCAGUGGGUGUGCGCACCGUGC